UCCUAACUGUCAAGGAAAAACAUGGUUCUAAACUCCUCCUUCUAGGCUCCUAGUGGUAAAGCAAUUUGCAGGGUAACCGUGGAAGAAAGGUGCCCACCCUCUCUAAGCUGACAUGGCCCCGCUCCCUCCCUCAGUCUGUGGCCUCAGGAGGGGACUGCUUUGCCUGUGAGUGGGAGGGAGCUACCGUGUGAGUAGAUCCCAACAGACCAUCUGCAGUCAUUUUCCCAGGUGGCAGGAGAAACACAGAGCCAGACGUUACACUGCUUUUCAAAGAGGAUUCCUUCACCAAUGAUCAAAAUGCAAAAGGUGGAGGAAGACUGGAAAGGAAGUUGUGAGGAAUGCAGAGAGGAUGUGGAGAGGAAUGAAGGGUGAUGUUCUGCUUAGGGGGUCAUAGCACCUCCACCCGAGGCCACUGCGGGGGGCUUUCAAGGAUGCCUUGGCAAAUUUGCAGACAAGACCAUUGAGAAGAUAUUUGGACCCUGGUGGCAGUUUUUUAUGUGUUUCUCAGCAGGGAUGAAUUAGCACAAUUUGUGUUACAUGCAAUACAAGCAGGUUCUGGAGAGAGCACUUGGACAUGAGACAAGAGGCUAUGAUAAAAGGUAAACAAGAUAGAAUCGGGGAAUCUUAAGAGACGUGUGUGUGUGCGUGGAGAAAUUCCUUCUCAAGAAAAGGCAGAUUUGCUCAGCACUGAAGCCACACCCCAGAAGCCUGGGGCUCCGUGUGGAGGGUGAAUGCUGCUGACCAGAGCCUGGGGACUGCAGCUUUUAAAGCCUGUUUCUGCUGCUCGCUGCGGGGCCUGCAGGGCUGAGCUUCAUCUUUCUGUGCUUCAUUUCACUAAUAGUGUGCUGCAGUAUACUGGAAGUGACCCUGAGACAGGGUCCAUGAGCUAUGAUUUGUAGCCUUCAUGCUGCCACUAAUAAGCUAAGUGACCUUUCUACUUAUCUGUAUUCUAGCUUUCUAAAAUUCAAAAUGAAGAAAUGUGGUCAUACAAUCUGUAUAAUUGCUUUUCCCUCCUCAGAGUUUUGAGUUUUUCUAGGUUAGAGAUAUACAAUUUUUUACACUUACAAUUUAUGCAUGGUUUUGUGUUUUUGUACUUUAAUAAAUCUGCCAAAUAAGAGAUCUUCUACCAUUUUGAUAAAUUUGUGUGGCAUCACUUGUCUAACAAAAUAUAGUUUCAACACUUUUAAGCCUCUACCAGCCGUGAUCCGGAGUCCAAGAGGACCUGGAAGGCAGUCCAUUCUGAGCAUGCGACACUCUGGCAAGGUCAUUCUGCUGUGUCUACCUUCACACGCAGGUUUUGACACUAGGGUCAUUAGGACAGUGCUUUUUUGAUGCAGUACACAUUUUGAAAUGCACACUAAUUUCAUGAUAAAACAUAACACACCAUCAGCCCUUUCAUUCAUAAUUAUCACCGAUUUCUGUGUGUAACAUACAGCCUCCUUUGAACCUGCAUCCUGAGCUCUAAACUCUUCUGAGCCAUGCUCUAUCUCUCAGGAUCAAAAUGUGUUACAGCUAGAAAACUUCCUAACAAAGAGUGGACACUGAAUAAGUGAUUCUUAAAGGAUUGAGGGGAUGUCAUUAGAAUUUUACAUUCUAUACUGACUUCCCACCCUCACUUUUGAGGAAAGAACUCUUUUUAUGAUUUUUUCAAUUGUGGUGUCCCUAGGGCUCAAAACAGAAUGAAUUAAUAAAGUAUUAAUGCAGCCAAUAAGUGAAUAACAAAGGCUGUUCAAUCUAACACAAAGGACAUUUAUUAAACACAUACCAUGUGUUACCAUAUGAUGUAUAUAUGCAUUUUAGAUAAAAUCAUGAACAUAGGGAUAAUGCAAAGGAUAAAAAUAAUUGAGGACAUAGGAAAAUAGGAAGUAUUUAUAAGGAAAUAAAACAGACAGCUUCUAAAGUGGCUUCAAUGAUUUUACCUCUUGGUAUUCAUGCCAUUGUGAAAUUUCCUCCCCUUGUACAUAAGCUGAACCAAUGGACUUUCUUCUAAAGAAUAGAAUAAGUAAAUCAAUAAAUGGGAUUCACCGCAUAAACAGAAUUAAAAACAAAAGCCAUAUGAUCAUCUCAAUAGAUGUAGAAAAAAGAAUUUGAUAAAAUGCAACACCCUUUCAUGAUAAAAAGCCUUAAACUAAGCAUUAAAGAAACAGAACUCAAAAUAAUAAGGACCAUCUAUGAUGAACCCACAGCGAACAUCAUACUGAAUGGACAAAAGCUGGAAGCAUUCCCCUGGAGAACCAGAACAAGACAGGGAUGC